UACGUAGAAGGCGAACGUUAUCCGGAUUUACUGGGCGUAAAGCGGGUGCAGACGGCCGCUUAAGUCGAGUGUGAAAUCCCCUGACUCAAUCAGGAGAGGUCAUUCGAUACUGAGGGGCUUGAGGACAGUAAAGGAAAGUGGAAUUCCCGGUGUAGCGGUGAUAUGCGUAGAUAUCGGGAGGAACACCAGUGGCGAAGGCGGCUUUCUAGGCUGUUCCUGACGUUGAGGCCCAAAAGCGUGGGGAG
rnacentral:rRNA from 1 species